UGAGGAAUAUUGGGCAAUGCCCGCAAGGGUGACCCAGCAACGCCGCGUGGAGGAUGAAUGUCGUAAGAUUGUAAACUCCUGUUAGAGGGGAAGAAUAGUACCGGUUGGACCGGUAUAUGACUGUACCCUCAGAGAAAGCCCCGGCUAACUACGUGCCAGCAGCCGCGGUACUACGUAGGGGGCAAGCGUUGUCCGGACUUACUGGGUGUAAAGGGUGCUCAGGCGGAUUUGUAAGUCAGAGGUGAAAUCUUACAGCUUAACUGUGAAACUGCCUUUGAUACUGCAAGCCUAGAGUAUGGAAGAGAGUGAUGGAAUAUCUGGUGUAGCAGUGAAAUGCGUAGAUAUCAGAUAGAACACCAAUGGCGAAGGCAGUCACUUGGUCCAUUACUGACGCUAAAGCACGAAAGCGUGGGUAGCAAACA
rnacentral:rRNA from 1 species